GAGUUUCGAGAUUUUAGGGUUUGGGUUGGUUUUGAGAUUGAAGAUUCAAGAGAUUCUGAAAGGAUUUGGGGGAAUCUAAUUAGGGAUUUGGAUAGGGGAAGUCAUUGGGGUGUUUGUGUUGUAAAUUUGCGGCUGAUUUGAGGUGGCGGCGGCACCGGUGGUGGUGGAGAAUUCGAGGGCGGCGGAUGUUUUUUAGGGUUUGGGUUCUCU
rnacentral:lncRNA from 1 species